GUGGCUGUAGCUCAGUGGAUAGAGCGUUGGGUUGCGGACCCAAAGGCCGGGGGUUCGAGUCCCUCCAGUCACG
rnacentral:tRNA from 1 species